rnacentral:rRNA from 1 species
UACGUAGGGUGCAAGCGUUAAUCGGAAUUACUGGGCGUAAAGCGUGCGCAGGCGGUUUUGUAAGUCUGUCGUGAAAUCCCCCGGGCUCAACCUGGGAAUUGCGAUGGAGACUGCAAGGCUAGAAUCUGGCAGAGGGGGGUAGAAUUCCACGUGUAGCAGUGAAAAUGCGUAGAGAUGUGGAGGAACACCGAUGGCGAAGGCAGCCCCCUGGGUCAAGAUUGACGCUCAUGCACGAAAGCGUGGGGAGCAAACAGG